rnacentral:rRNA from 1 species
UAAGGAAUAUUGGUCAGUGGACGCAAGUCUGAACCAGCCAUGCCGCGUGGAGGAUGAAGGCCCUCUGGGUUGUAAACUUCUUUUAUCUGGGAAGAAACCCAUCUUUUCUAAGGUGGUUGACGGUACCAGUUGAAUAAGCACCGGCUAACUCCGUGCCAGCAGCCGCGGUAAUACGGAGGGUGCAAGCGUUAUCCGGAUUCACUGGGUUUAAAGGGUGCGUAGGUGGGCAGGUAAGUCAGUGGUGAAAUCUCUGGGCUUAACCCAGAAACUGCCGUUGAUACUAUCUGUCGUGAAUAUAGUGGAGGUGAGCGGAAUAUGUCAUGUAGCGGUGAAAUGCUUAGAUAUGACAUAGAACACCAAUGGCGAAGGCAGCUCGCUACACUAUCAUUGACACUGAGGCACGAAAGAGUGGGGAUCAAACA